GACGAACGCUGGCGGCGUGCUUAACACAUGCAAGUCGAACGGAAAGGCCUCUUUCGGGGGGUACUCGAGUGGCGAACGGGUGAGUAACACGUGAGUAACCUGCCCUUGACUUUGGCUUAACUUCAGUAAACUGGGGCUAAUACCUGAUAGGAGCUCCUGCUGCAUGGUGGGGGCUGGAAAGUUUCGGCGGUUGGGGAUGGACUCGCGGCUUAUCCGCUUGUUGGUGGGGUAGUGGCUUACCAACGCCUUGACGGGUAGCCGGACUGUGACGGUGACAGGCGGUACUGGGUCCGAGGGGAGGCCGAGGUACCGAAGGGAGGGAGAAGGGGGGAAUAUUGCACAAGGGGUGGAAGGCGGAUGAAGCAGCGCCGUGGGCGGGAUGACGGCCUUAGGGGUGAAGAACGCUUUCGCUCAUGACGAUGCUUGGUGUGACGGUAGUGGGUAAAGAAGCACCGGCUAACUACGUG
rnacentral:rRNA from 1 species